GACGAACGCUGGCGGCGUGCUUAACACAUGCAAGUCGAACGGAAAGGCCCUGCUUUUGUGGGGUGCUCGAGUGGCGAACGGGUGAGUAACACGUGAGUAACCUGCCCUUGACUUUGGGAUAACUUCAGGAAACUGGGGCUAAUACCGGAUAGGAGCUCCUGCUGCAUGGUGGGGGUUGGAAAGUUUCGGCGGUUGGGGAUGGACUCGCGGCUUAUCAGCUUGUUGGUGGGGUAGUGGCUUACCAAGGCUUUGACGGGUAGCCGGCCUGAGAGGGCGACCGGCCACAUUGGGACUGAGAUACGGCUCAGACUCCUACGGGAGGCAGCAGUGGGGAAUAUUGCACAAUGGGCGGAAGCCUGAUGCAGCAACGCCGCGUGCGGGAUGACGGCCUUCGGGUUGUAAACCGCUUUCGCCUGUGACGAAGCGUGAGUGACGGUAAUGGGUAAAGAAGCACCGGCUAACUACGUG
rnacentral:rRNA from 1 species